UUUCUGGUGGUCCAGUGGAUAAGACUCUGAGCUUCUAAUGCAGGGGCCACAGGUUCGAUCCCUGAUCAGGGAA
rnacentral:tRNA from 1 species